AUGUCGCUGCAACCUCCUCGCCAUCCCAUGCCGCGGGGGAGCAAGCCCCUACCCGCCGGGCGUGCACCCCCCCGGCUCCACACUCGCCCGUGUCUGCAAGCACGUGCACCGUUCGCCGCUGCCUCCGGCCACCCGGGUUCCCGACUAACCUCGCCUGCAGCCCGGCCAAUCGCUCGCUGCCCUUUGUUGCUGCAGCCUGGGUCUCCCCGCUGCCUUCCUCAGCCUCCGCCUCGUCCUUUGCCAGCCGCCCGGGUCCGCAGCGCCGCGCUCCCCCCGCCCGGGACCCACCGCCGCCGCCUCCUUCUCCUCCUCCGCCUCCUCCUCCUCGGCUCCGGGCUGCAGCGCACAGAGCCCGAGGCAGCGCCGCCCAGCCCCGCUCCCCCCGCGCCGCCCGCCAGCCCGCCCGGCCUGGCCGGGGGCGCAGCCCGGACCCCGCCCGCCCCAGUCUCCGCCCCGGGGGUACCUGCCUCCGCCCCGGGGGGCUCCUCUCGCCGCCCUCGGGGGAGGGCGGGGACGCUGGUGUCCGCGGGAGGAUGGGGACGCCUGGGCCGUUUGGGGAGGGAAGUGUGCCCGCCGGGGCUGGGACUGAGGUGCGGUCCUCGCCAAUGCGCCCCCCCUCCCGUCGCUGUGGGUCCCAAACUUCGUCCUUCGCCCAGGCCUUGCGCCCUCGGGCGAUCGCGGCAGUUUUGGGGUGGGGGACGCCUUGGGAGCUGUGUCUACCCUGAUCGGGAGGAAGAGGGAGCAGUGACAUUCAGCGACUGCGGACAGGGCACAGCGGCGGCAUCCUUGGGUGGGAGUGGGGAUGUCAGACGCGGGCUGGAGGGGGAAGCUGCCCCUCAGGAUGCCCUCUCCCUGCCUGCGAGAAGCUGGCGAGCUCAGCCGCGUUCUGGGUGCUUUCUUGGGCGGUGCAGGCUGAUGGCAGAGGUGCUGAGGCGGGAGGGGGGCGGGGAAGACCGCUGGGGGGCCCUUCCCCCCUCUCCUUUAGCCAGCGCUCUAAGGAAGGCUGAUGGCGAAGUUCGGUUUUCCAGGCUUCCCCUGGGCCCCCCGAGUUCCUGA
rnacentral:lncRNA from 13 species